UGGAAGAAAAAUGUGAAGGUUCCUCUCCACUAGUUAUACUUUUGCCAGAAUGACUGAGUACGUACUGAGCUUGAACACAUACAACUGCUGUCUAAUCUCAAUAUGGAGAAAGUACUGAGCUCGAACACAUACAACUGCUGUCUAAUCUCAAUAUAGAGACCCCACUCGAACUUUCUUACCUUUCUGCCUUUAUCCAUCAUACUCUCAGGGGAAUAGCGGCCUAACUCUAGGAACUUUCAGGUAUAUUCUGACACAGUCAUAUCACAUUGGACCAGGUGCGUAAACUCCAUUUCCUUCAAAUGUUGG
rnacentral:lncRNA from 1 species